rnacentral:rRNA from 1 species
UGGUUGACCUCGGAUCAGGUAGGGAUACCCGCUGAACUUAAGCAUAUCAAUAAGCGGAGGAAAAGAAACCAACAGGGAUUGCCUCAGUAACGGCGAGUGAAGCGGCAACAGCUCAAAUUUGAAAUCUGACUCCUUGAGAGUCCGAGUUGUAAUUUGUAGAGGAUGUUUCGGGUUCCCCUCCGGUUUAAAUUUCUUGGAACAGAAUGUCAAAGAGGGUGAGAAUCCCGUCUUGGACUGGCGGUCGGGGCCCAUGUGAAACUCCUUCGACGAGUCGAGUUGUUUGGGAAUGCAGCUCAAAAUGGGUGGUAAAUUUCAUCUAAAGCUAAAUAUUGGCCAGAGACCGAUAGCGCACAAGUAGAGUGAUCGAAAGAUGAAAAGCACUUUGAAAAGAGAGUCAAAAAGUAUGUGAAAUUGUUGAAAGGGAAGCGCUGGCAACCAGACUUGCGCGCGAUGGUUCCCCCUUCCUUCUGGUUGGGUUACUCCGUCGUGUCCAGGCCAACAUCGGUUCUGGGGGUCGGUUAAAGGCCGUGGGAAUGUAUUUACCCUUUCGAGGCGUAGACUUAUAGCCCACGGUGUCAUGCGGCCUCCCGGGACCGAGGAACGCGCUUCGGCUCGGAUGUUGGCGUAAUGGUUGUCAGCGACCCGUCUUGAAACACGGACCAAGGAGUCUAACAUCUAUGCGAGUGUUUGGGUGUCAAACCCGGAACGCGAAAUGAAAGUGAACGGAGGUAGGACGCUUCGGCUGCACUAUCGACCGAUCCUGAUGUCUUCGGAUGGAUUUGAGUAAGAGCAUAGCUGUUGGGACCCGAAAGAUGGUGAACUAUGCCUGAAUAGGGUGAAGCCAGAGGAAACUCUGGUGGAGGCUCGCAGCGGUUCUGACGUGCAAAUCGAUCGUCAAAUUUGGGUAUAGGGGCGAAAGACUAAUCGAACCAU